UACGUAGGGUGCGAGCGUUAAUCGGAAUUACUGGGCGUAAAGCGUGCGCAGGCGGUUUUGUAAGUCAGAUGUGAAAGCCCCGGGCUCAACCUGGGAAUGGCAUUUGGGACUGCAAGGCUGGAGUUUGGCAGAGGAGACUGGAAUUCCUGGUGUAGCAGUGAAAUGCGUAGAUAUCAGGAGGAAUACCGAUGGCGAAGGCAGGUCUCUGGGCUAUAACUGACGCUCAUGCACGAAAGCGUGGGGAGCAAACGGG
rnacentral:rRNA from 1 species